rnacentral:rRNA from 1 species
GGCCUACACAUGCAAGUCGAGCGCACCUUCGGGUGAGCGGCGGACGGGUUAGUAACGCGUGGGAACGUACCCUUUUCUACGGAAUAGCCUUUGGAAACGAAGAGUAAUACCGUAUACGCCCUUUGGGGGAAAGAUUUAUCGGAGAAGGAUCGGCCCGCGUUAGAUUAGAUAGUUGGUGGGGUAACGGCCUACCAAGUCUACGAUCUAUAGCUGGUUUUAGAGGAUGAUCAGCAACACUGGGACUGAGACACGGCCCAGACUCCUACGGGAGGCAGCAGUGGGGAAUCUUAGACAAUGGGCGCAAGCCUGAUCUAGCCGUGCCGCGUGAGUGAUGAAGGCCUUAGGGUCGUAAAGCUCUUUCGCCUGUGAUGAUAAUGACAGUAGCAAGUAAAGAAACCCCGGCUAACUCCGUGCCAGCAGCCGCGGUAAUACGGAGGGGGUUAGCGUUGUUCGGAAUUACUGGGCGUAAAGCGCACGUAGUCGGAUUGGAAAGUUGGGGGUGAAAUCCCGGGGCUCAACCCCGGAACUGCCUCCAAAACUAUCAGUCUAGAGUUCGAGAGAGGUGAGUAGAAUUCCAAGUGUAGAGGUGAAAUUCGUAGAUAUUUGGAGGAACACCAGUGGCGAAGGCGGCUCACUGGCUCGAUACUGACGCUGAGGUGCGAAAGUGUGGGGAGCAAACAGGAUUAGAUACCCUGGUAG